GGAUUGUGGGACACUGCAUGAUAGUGGCUAUCUUGUACCUAAAGCAUCUCUCUCACAUUCUCCCAAAACUUAGAUUCGAAGCUUGGUUGCAGACUCUCAUGUUGAUCCUUGGAUCUUGGGCCACUUGAUUUUUUUGUUUUCAAAAUAAUUAUUUUGGGAAUGGUGUUACAUGGAGUUCAUUCUCUCAUGAAUUUGCAUCUAAUAGUAUCUUUCUUUAUAAGUUUAUGCUGAGUUUACAUUGUUUCUGGAUCUGUAGCGCAUAACAAUGAAGAUGACUGGGCCACAAAAGCUAGAGCAUGGGCAGCUGCGAAAGCUGCAACUGAACAUCAGCUUCCUCAAUCUCAGGUUACUCCAGCAGGAAGGCUAGAAGAGCAGAAUAAUUUUCAUGAUCAAUAUUCUCAAUCUGUUGAUACUCAACUUAUGGAUGUGCAGC
rnacentral:lncRNA from 1 species